rnacentral:rRNA from 1 species
UACGGGGGGUGCAAGCGUUGUCCGGAAUCAUUGGGCGUAAAGAGUUCGUAGGUGGUAUGUUAAGUCUGGUGUUAAAGGCGGAGGCUCAACUUCCGUAUGGAACCGGAUACUGGCAAACUAGAAUGCGGCAGAGGUAAAGGGAAUUCCUGGUGUAGCGGUGAAAUGCGUAGAUAUCAGGAGGAACAUCGGAGGCGUAAGCGCUUUACUGGGCCAUUAUUGACACUGAGGAACGAAAGCCGGGGUAGCAAAU